GUCCACGCCGUAAACGAUGAGUGCUAGGUGUUGGGGUAUUGACCCCUCCAGUACCGCAGCUAACGCGUUAAGCACUCCGCCUGGGGAGUACGGCCGCAAGGCUAAAACUCAAAGGAAUUGACGGGGCCCGCACAAGCGGUGGAGUAUGUGGUUUAAUUCGACGCAACGCGCAAAACCUUACCUAGGUUAAAUCCACAAGAACCCACCAGAAAAGGUGGGGUGCCUUCGGGAGCUUGUGAGAAGGUGCUGCAUGGCUGUCGU
rnacentral:rRNA from 1 species